CUCGUAGGCGGUUCGUCGCGUCCGGUGUGGAAGUCCAUCGCUUAACGGUGGAUCCGCGCCGGGUACGGGCGGGCUUGAGUGCGGUAGGGGAGACUGGAAUUCCCGGUGUAACGGUGGAAUGUGUAGAUAUCGGGAAGAACACCAAUGGCGAAGGCAGGUCUCUGGGCCGUUACUGACGCUGAGGAGCGAAAGCGUGGGGAGCGAACA
rnacentral:rRNA from 1 species